UGUCGAACUUCUGGCCUCAAGUGAUCCUCCUGCCUCAGCCUCCCAAAGGGCUGGGAUUACAGGUGUGAGCUACCACGCCCAGCAAAGCUUUUGUUUUUAACUUCAUCAUUUGAUAUCUGCAUUUGCUGCAGCCUUGUAUGCUUUUUGAAAGAAGACAAGGCCUGCAUAUUUAAAGCAGGGGUGACACACUUACGGGAAUGAGUUGCCAAAGUGUCCUGGUCUAAGGCAAUAGGCUUGGUUCAUCUGUAGUCAGCCAGAGUGGGUUUGCCCAUCUGAGAAGACUUAGCCCUUCUUGUACUCUCGUUAACUACUGGAAUCAUGAAUGGGCCUCCAGAGUUCCCAGCUCUUUUGAGAAAACCCUGAGAUACAGAUUUUUUAUAGGAAAUGUCCUGGCUUUUAAAUAUUAGUCUCUAGCCCAGUGCCUGGAACAUACAUAGUAACAUUCACUGAUAGCACAUUAGGCCAGGGAAAACCUUUACUUAUUGUCUGAGAAAUAGAUCCCUGGAAAUAAGAACAAAUCUUUGAAGCUGUGGCUCAGCAGAGAGAAAGUCCACAACACUGGACCCAGCUGCCCAGACUCCCAAGGCCAUUCUUUUUAAGGCAACGAAAGAAUCUGUCAAGAAUGCAAUUCUUGCUUUUUUCAAAUACAUGAAGGACUAUGGCUUUCUUAUAGAGAAUUGGAUACACUGUGCAACCUGCUCGUAACCUGUGUAACCUCCAUUCAGAACCGCAGAAGGUCUGAUCCAAUAUCUUUGACCUGUGAAGGCAGAUGCAGUUCCCAGGAGGGCAGGAGCUGACUUUUCUUUUCAUUCUUCAACCACAUCCCCAUUCCUACACUAUCUCAUAGAACAGAGAAGUUGCUGAAUAAAUAGUCAAGGUUUAAAAAUGAAAUCAUUGCUUCCCACUUAAAGAUGUAAAGACUUCUUAGACAGAGAACUAGAUCCCUCACAUGCAGAAUCAUUCUCCCUGAAUGUGAGAAUCAGGAUCCUCGAAAUUUUCCUCUCUCCUACCACCCCAUUUUACAGAUAGAAAAACUGAGGCUCGGAGAGCUAAAGCAGGCCUGCCCGGGGGCCUUACCAGACUUCCAGGAUGGUGUCAUUCCUUUCAAGGGCCUGCAGGAGGGCUUCUGCCCCUAGGUAGGUGAUGCAGUUAUUGGACAACCUGGAGAAGAAAAUAGAAUGGUGAGCUUCAAAGAUUCUUGGUUUUCCUCUUGAAACUGUCCAGUUAAAGAGACUUCAGGAGUUAGCCAGCCCACUGAAGCCCACCUGUCCCCUAGACACCUCCCACUCAUGUCUGAGAUUCCCAAUGAGCUCAUCAGUGAAGGCUCAGUACCGUCAGUGAAAUGUACCCAUCUCUCUUCCAUUCACUAGAUGAGUUUAUCAAAUUAAGUAGCCACUCCCUUAGUAUAGUAGUUAAGUACCUGAAUUUUAGUGCUAGAUGUCCUGGGUUUAAAUCCCACCUACACGACUUUUUUGAUCUUGAGCAAAUUAGUUCUAAUUUCCUCACUGGUAAAAUGGUCCUAAAAGAGUGCCUGUGUCAUCAAGCAUAAGAAUCUAAUGAUGGGUGUAAGCAGGCUCCUGUUCACAUCCACCAUCCAUCUCCUUGUGGCAUGGGUCCCGGGCCAUUAAGUCAGCCACCAGUCCCUGCAUUACCUCCCCACACUCUGCUUGCUGGGAAGACCCACCACUCUCUGCAAACCUAAAACACUUGCACAGUACUCAAUAUGGUUUUGCUGUGUCCCCACCCAAAUCUCAUCUUGAAUUCCCACAUUUUGUGGGAGGAAGCCAGUGGAAGAUAAUUGAAUUCCAUCCUGUUCUCAUUAUAGUAAAUAAGUCUCAUGAGAUCUGAUGGUUUUAAAAAAGGGAGUUUCCCUGAACAAGCCCUCUUCUCCUGUCUGCCGCCAUGUAAGACGUGCCUUUCACCUUCCGCCAUGAUUGUGAGACCUCCCCAGCCACGUGGAACUACUAUGAAAAUGAUGUUAGACAAAAAGUAAAUUCAAGCAAUUUUCUUAUUCCAAUUCAAAAUGAGUCGUAAAGCAGCAGAGACAACUCACAACAUCAACAACGCAUUUGGCCCAGGAACUGCUAACGAACGUACAGUGCAGUGGUGGUUCAAGAAGUUUUGCAAAGGAGACGAGAGCCUGGAAGAUGAGGAGUGUGCUGGCAUGCCAUCGGAAGUUGACAAUAACCAACUGAGAGCAAUCAUCAAAGCUGAUCUUCUUACAACCACUUGAGAACUCAACAUCGACCAUUCCAUGGUCGUUCAGCAUUUGAAGCAAAUUGGAAAGGUGAAAAAGCUCGAUAAGUGGGUGCCUCAUGAGCUGAGUGAAAACCAAGAAAAUCAUCAUUUUGAAGUGUCAUCUUCUCUUUUUCUACACAACAACAGUGAACCAUUUCUUGAUCUGAUUGUGACAUGCAAUGAAAAGUGGAUUUUAUACAACUGGCAAGGACUAGCUCAGUGGUUGGACCAAGAUGAUGCUCCAAAGCACUCCCAAAGCCAAACUUGUGCCAAAAAAAAAAAAAAA